GGUAGGAUGAUCAAGAGGAAGCUGCUAACUUCUAUCUUAAGCGGUUAAAAUCCGUUUAUACCU
rnacentral:tRNA from 1 species